GUGGAUUUAACCCACUGGUGAAGUUCUAGAGACUGUUCGUUUUGGAUUCACAAGGCUGGUGAAGUUUUGACAGUGUUCGUCAUCUGUUCCUCUCACUUCAAGGGAAACUGACGGUAGAAGGUGGACUGGUGUUGACAUGGACUGUGGGAGCAAUGGGAGAGUAUUCAGUGUCAAUGGAUGACAUCUGGGAAGAAGAGGAACAUCACAAGACCACCUGAAGGAGCAUCUUCUCUGUGCUGAAGCGCCGAUGUAGGAAAUGUAUUCUCUGUAGCAUCAGCUGCUGUGUUUCAUGUUGAAUAUUGAAAACAUAAUAAAUAUUUUAAAUUGAGGGGUUUCUUCAUUAAA